AGCAAGGUGGCAGGAAUCCCAGCCUAAAGAUGAGACAGAGGCACCGGGACCAGAGCACCCAGGAAUCCUGACCCCUGGCCUGAGUACCAUCUCGACCUAGGGGAGGCAUACAGCCAGCAUUUCUCUGCUAGAACAGGGGGAAGCUGUGUUCCUCCAGCCCCCUGCCCCUCCCCCAUGGGGAAGGCAUGGUGGGGGCCGGG
rnacentral:lncRNA from 1 species